CCUACGGGAGGCAGCAGUGAGGAAUAUUGGUCAAUGGACGAGAGUCUGAACCAGCCAAGUAGCGUGAAGGAUGACUGCCCUAUGGGUUGUAAACUUCUUUUAUAUGGGAAUAAAACGUUCCACGUGUGGGAUUUUGUAUGUACCAUAUGAAUAAGGAUCGGCUAACUCCGUGCCAGCAGCCGCGGUAAUACGGAGGAUCCGAGCGUUAUCCGGAUUUAUUGGGUUUAAAGGGAGCGUAGGUGGAUUGUUAAGUCAGUUGUGAAAGUUUGCGGCUCAACCGUAAAAUUGCAGUUGAAACUGGCAGUCUUGAGUACAGGAGAGGUGGGCGGAAGUCGUGGUGUAGCGGUGAAAUGCUUAGAUAGCGCGAAGAACUCCGAUUGCGAAGGCAGUUCACUGGACUGCAACUGACACUGAGGCUCGAAAGUGUGGGUAUCAAACAGGAUUAGAUACCCCAGUAGUC
rnacentral:rRNA from 1 species